CCCUCCGGAGUCCUAGGCGGGGGGCCAGGGGACCUCCCUAGUGUCUGUGGCGGUGGGAUCCCGUGGCAGUGUUUUCCUGGUGGCCCGGCUGUG
rnacentral:pre_miRNA from 1 species